rnacentral:rRNA from 1 species
UUAUACCCGCUGAAACUUAAGCAUAUCAAUAAGCGGAGGAAAAGAAACACAACAGGGAUUGCCUCAGUAACGGCGAGUGAAGCGGCAACAGCUCAAAUUUGAAAUCUGGCUCUUUUAGGGUCCGAUUGUAAUUUGUAGAGGAUGCUUCGGCGGCGGCUCCGGUCUAAGUUCCUUGGAACAGGACGUCAUAGAGGGUGAGAAUCCCGUAUGUGAUCGGUUGCCUUUGCCAUGUGAAGCUCCUUCGACGAGUCGAGUUGUUUGGGAAUGCAGCUCUAAAUGGGAGGUAAAUUUCUUCUAAAGCUAAAUACUGGCCAGAGACCGAUAGCGCACAAGUAGAGUGAUCGAAAGAUGAAAAGCACUUUGGAAAGAGAGUCAAAAAGUACGUGAAAUUGUUGAAAGGGAAGCGCUUGCAACCAGACCUGCCUGCAGUUGCUCAUCCGGGCUUUCGCCCGGUGCACUCUUCUGCUGUCAGGCCAGCAUCAGUUCGGGCGGUCGGAUAAAGGCUUCGGGAAUGUAGCUCCUUUCGAGGAGUGUUAUAGCCCGUUGCGAAAUGCGGCCAGCCUGAACUGAGGUCCGCGCUUCGGCUAGGAUGCUGGCGUAAUGGUUGUAAGCGGCCCGUCUUGAAACACGGACCAAGGAGUCUAACAUCUGUGCGAGUGUUUGGGUGUCAAACCCGUACGCGUAAUGAAAGUGAACGGAGGCGGGAACCCCUCGGGGUGCACCGUCGACCGAUCCUGAUGUCUUCGGAUGGAUUUGAGUAAGAGCAUAGCUGUUGGGACCCGAAAGAUGGUGAACUAUGCCUGAAUAGGGUGAAGCCAGAGGAAACUCUGGUGGAGGCUCGCAGCGGUUCUGACGUGCAAAUCGAUCGUCAAAUUUGGGCAUAGGGGCGAAAGACUAAUCGAACUAUCUAGUAGCUGGUUCCUGCCGAAGUUUCCCUCAGGAUAGCAGUAACGUUUUCAGUUUUAUGAGGUAAAGCGAAUGAUUAGAGGCCUGGGGGUUGAAACAACCUUCACCUAUUCUCAAACUUUAAAUAUGUAAGAAGUCCUUGUUACUUAGUUGAACGUGGACAUUGAAUUACGUACAGGCAC